UUACGAACACAUCAGCAUAAGCCAAUAAGUUGCUAUGCAACUGGACGAAUCUGGAUUGGAGAUGAUAAGAAAAACUUUAGACUGAUUGAGGUAAAUGGAGGUAAGUAAUUGUCAAGAAAACACUUCUAAUUUUUGUUCCUGCACGCCUAUCCUGCCUCAGGAGAAGUGACUGGUGUUGACUGUUACUUUCACUAGUUUAGUUUUGACCAGCUCUUAGUUUUUCCUUAAUUCUUAUUUAUUAAAUUUGUUCAGGUUUUUGUGAGAUGUUCUUUCUGCUUUCCGGUCAUUGUUUUCCUGUCCUUUCUUCUCUGAGUUUAAAUGAAUGACGUUUUAUCUGUUGGGAUGCAGGGCUCUAGCAGUCAAAACUAUCUUAUAUAUCAAAAAAAAAAAAAACAAUAUCAAGCUUGAGGAGCUGCCUUUCAAUUAGGGUGUGGUCAUACUUUCAUUUGAUGCUCUUUGUAACUUUAGUAUUUAAGAAAUUUCUGGUGUUUAUCAACGGUGCCUGCACCCUUUCUUCCCUUCUCUAGUUUCUUUUUCUCUGAGCAUCGAUUAGUAAACCAAAAAAGAACUCAUGGGAUCUUCUAUAUGCUCUUUGUUAAAUGCAGGCUUCUGUAUCUACUUUUUCUUCCCCUUCUUUUAUUAGCAAGGCCGUGCUUGAGUUCAUCAUCAUAAAAAAAAGUGAUCUUUUUUCAAUAUAUUUGUGUUUUUGUUCUUUUAAGACCUUUAGUGAUCUUUGUUCUGAAUCCAGAAAGGAUCGAUAUUUCCAAAUGUUGACAUCUUAUAGACUUACCGAAUGUCAUUAAUGUUAAGUAUGCUUGCUGAUUGAAAUGCCAUUCGUUUGUUAUUUACGUAAUUAUAUUCUUUUUUUACUUUUAUAUUUGAUAUCUUUUAAUUUUUUAAUACAAUAUUCUUAUUUGGUUUAUUGAAUUUUUUAUGAUAUUAAAUUUUGUUAUAUAGUCCGUAUAUUUAGCAGGAAUGCUAUGAGAGCGCAUCUUGUAGACGUAAAUGUCUGCAUGCUGCAUGAACAACAUAUGCUUUGAUUUUCAAGUGGCCCUACAUCUAGUGGUAUAACGGAGGUGUGGUUGUGAUCAUGUCUCUGUUUAGAGCUUCAAAUUCCCCUACCUCUAAACGCAUGUGUAAAUUCAUUACUGCACAAUAUAGCAUUUUGAUAUUAUCUUGUUGCCAUCUAGCUGAACUGGCAAAAUGAGUGGUUGAACUAUACAAUACUAUGAUCUGAAGGGACUUUUUCCGCUUUACUGUUAGGUCUGGCUUCAAAGUUAAAACGUAAUAUAACAGUAUCAUUUUGCAGAUCUUCUGACUCCUGUGACAUCAAGGAAUCCUUGCAAUCAGCGAUAUGCAUUGAAUAAAUGAAAUUCAGAUUUCUUUAAAUGGCCCAUCACAUUUAAAGCUUCCUAGCCCAUGUUUAGGCAAGCAUAUGGGGCUACAGUUCCAGGAACUAUUGUAUGAUAGUCCCAUGGCCUCUUGAUAGAAAGGUUGUGAUAUAUUCAUCAUAAUGUCCUGCUAAAUGUACUGAUUUUCUUAUUGCUUGACCGCCUUGCAAACACCCAAAAGAAGACUCUGAUCAAAUGUUAUUCAGUUUUCAUGAGUGCUUUCUGUAUCUUAUUUUUGAAUUCAAAAUCACAUGUGUGAGUAUGUUAGAACUUUUUUUGUCAAUGUUUUGAGAAAGAUAUAUUGUUUUGAUGAAAUAAAUUAUACAUGAUGAACUCACAUAUUCGUUGCAUAUGAUUCCAUUGCGACGCUGUAAUUUUUUUUAACAAGCCAGGUCUCAAGUUUCUAGCACGUCUGAGAAAGGGAGGUCAGAUUUAUGGAUAUGCUGGCCUUGAGUCUGGCGGAACCAUCAAUAUUUUUCGUGUAAUGGAAGAGAAACUUGUUUAAUCCAGCCUAUGCAUUCCACUGACAGGCUAACACAGAAAUUCAUAGUUCACCUUGUUUCCAGCAGAAAGUGUGCAUCACAGGAUGCCAUAAGUUUGUGUUGUUUUGGUUUGGUGUGCAACGUGUUGUUAAGCAUGCGGUUAUCAUUGGCAGUGACUAUGUUGUGCAUCGAACAUGUGCAGAAUUCAGCAACCUGUCAUAGUGAAUUGUGUGUACCAGACGGCUAUUUGUCAAGAUAAUCGAGUGUGAUGUGGACGUUUGGCAACCUUGGUCUGUGCGUUAUUCUUUUAUACUAACAGGAUAGUGCUGAAUGGGUGGAUAAUUUGUCUUCAGUUGAUGAAGGUGGCGGUCUUGCAGCAUGCAAUAAGAUGUGCUUAGCUAGCUGGGAUGUGUCCAAAUUAUGAUGUGAAUGAAACUCAGGUGACCUCCAUAUAGUCCUGGCUUUUCGGGAUAUGUAAUUCCUGUUGAGCUAGAUGAAAUAUAGAUAAUUGUGUUCUUCCAUCAGUAGUAGUAAGGGUGGUGGUUACCAACAUCCUUCAGCUAGUGCGUACCUACCAAAGAAAUCUGACUGAAAACUAAAUGGUGCAAGGUGUCAUACGUUUAAGAUGCAAGGUGCCGUGAACCUGUGGAUACAAUCAUCCCAUUUGUUUUCCUUUCUUAUUCAAUUGGCUGUCUUUGUUUUGGAAUUUGGAAUACUGCAGUUUUGCAUUACUGUGGUGGAUAGGCUCAUCAUUUCUUGUGUUUCGACGGUGGUGGUUGGGGGGACAGCGACCGACUUCUGUUAGUAGCUAAAACAGGUAGUCUGGUGAAAAUGAUGGCAUCAACCAAGAAGUCAAGCUGUUGAUCCAGCUGGAAGAGAAUCGAGGUGAACUACAAGGGAUAAUAUGAGCUGAAGAAAGAGAGACAAAAUCUAAACCCUGCAAAGCAUUAUAUGUUUAUGAUCCCCUGUCCAUCUUUUUGAUAUAAUGAGAAUGGGAAUGGACUUAAUUAGGCUAUUUUUAAAUAGUUAGAUAUGCUUUGCCAGGAAUAAAAACAUGGUUUAGGAGAGAACUGCAGUGGUCCAAUGAAAGUGAAAGAAGGAUCUCAAGGGUGAAGGUGAUGGGCAUGCAGCAGGGAGGUGCGGAAUUGCAGAAUGAAAACCAGAUGUAUGGCAGAAAUUACAGGGUUUGGUAUCAGCAUGCCCGGGUCCCGAUGCUGGUACCGAGCAGCAGCCUUCUGAUGCUGCUGCACUCAUUUAUCCGGUUUGAGUUAAUGGGGUUGCCUGUGGCGGUGGACCCAGAAGUGGGACCAAAUUAAUCUCUCAUCAGCAUAUGCCUUCAGCGACGGCCUUUCUCUGUUCCCGGCUGCGGCAUUUAACGAUCGCAGGGGGAACCGACAUGAAUCUUGUGUUUAUCACUUCGCACAUGAUUGUAGUUUAUAUAUUUGCAUAUGGUACACACAAAUGCUUCUCUAUUUCUUUCAUGUGCCUGGUUUUAAAGCGUAAAAAAAAGAAAAAUCCCUUGCAGCAGCCUUGGGGUAAAGAGGUGGUGGGUUGUACCAUCUCUUACUGUGUGAUAGGCCCACCGUAUCACUUGUCCCUUUACAGAUUGAAUAUGCUCAUGGGACGGUUAUAACAGAGUCAUGGAUGCGCAAGAGCUUUGCUAUCCGCGCUGAGAUGCUGGGCCCUGACCAUUGGACUCAUUGAAGACUCCUGGUAUGCAUCUUUUUAAUCAGUUGUACAUACAUAAGUGUAUACAUAUAUACAUAAGUGUGUGUGUGUGUGUGCAUGCAUACGUGCAUUUGUACAUUAUGAUUUAAUAUAUAUGAGUUGGAUUGGAUCCCUAA